GAUGAACGCUGGCGGCGUGCCUAAUACAUGCAAGUCGAGCGAACGGACGAGAAGCUUGCUUCUCUGAUGCUAGCGGCGGACGGGUGAGUAACACGUGGAUAACCUACCUAUAAGACUGGGAUAACUUCGGGAAACCGGAGCUAAUACCGGAUGAUAUUUUGAACCGCAUGGUUCAAAAGUGAAAGACGGUCUUGCUGUCACUUAUAGAUGGAUCCGCGCUGCAUUAGCUAGUUGGUAAGGUAACGGCUUACCAAGGCAACGAUGCAUAGCCGACCUGAGAGGGUGAUCGGCCACACUGGAACUGAGACACGGUCCAGACUCCUACGGGAGGCAGCAGUAGGGAAUCUUCCGCAAUGGGCGAAAGCCUGACGGAGCAACGCCGCGUGAGUGAUGAAGGUCUUCGGAUCGUAAAACUCUGUUAUUAGGGAAGAACAUAUGUGUAAGUAACUGUGCACAUCUUGACGGUACCUAAUCAGAAAGCCACGGCUAACUACGUG
rnacentral:rRNA from 1 species